UGGUUUUCAACUUCUUUGCAAGAAUACAAGCUACGGGGAGGCUGCCGCCUCAGUAGAGCCUGUGUUCACUGAUGUGGCCCUGUGGUAACAGCGAGGACAGCAAGGUGACGGGUGCAGCUCCUGCCCGUCAGGCACUCACAGUCCUGAAGAAGACAGAGGAAGAAAAGCCCGUUGUCCAGCAAGCUUGUGAGGUGGCUGAAGCCUGUCUCCACUGUAUCCAGGGCAGAAAAAUACCGGCGAGACUUCAGCGGGGCUGAGGCCUAACUGAAACCAAGAUGAGCUUUGGUUUUAUUUCUUAGUAUAAUGUCACCUAGUGAGUUUCACCAAAUAUUGCAUUUGCAUAAUGCAUUUUUGUGCUACUUUUCUAGACCCCAGAAGUGACAAGAGGGCAGGAAACUUCUGGCUCACGCCAGCACGGUAACCACUGCUUCUGUCCGUCUCCUCGACAGUCCGCACACCACUGCACAAGGCAGCGGUUUAUCUUUUUAAUUCUCUGCUUCAUUGGCAUAGCCUUGACUGGCAAACAGGAGUUGAUUGCUAUCUGGUGGGAGAUACAGAGUGGAGGCAGGCAUGGGAAAUACAGUGCGUUAAAGCUGAUUUUCAUCACUGCAGCCAGGAAGAGCCUCCUGAAAGAUAAAUCAGACAGCAACACUUCUCAGCUCAAAACCUCAACAGUUGUAGCUCAUUUGGAGUAACACUCAGAGCCCUCCAGCCGCCUCACGUGCUCUCCCUUCCUCUCCCCUCUUACCUCUCUGCCCCUCCCUGCCCCUCCCUGCCCCAGGCACAGGGCAGGGAAGGCUCAGCUGAUCCCUGCACUGCAGAGUGGCCUGAGGGUGGGCUCCUGCUGCUUGAGAUGUCUCCUGAUGACCCCAUUUUAAACAGCAAGCCUCCCUCCACACAUCUUCCUCCCCCUCCAAUUUAUGUUUCUCCAGAGCACUUCUCAGAUCUUGAUAUGCUGUAAUCAGACUUUUGUUUGUUGUGUAUUAAGCUCUGCAAUAACAUGUCGUUGUCUCCUUUGUUCACUUCUGUAUUCCCAGCACCCAAAACAGGGCUUGGCGCAGUUGAUACUAAUGGGAUAUCUGCUGAGAGAUGGGUGGAUGGAUGAGGACAAAUUCCAAAAGGUAGGGCAGAAAGUUGGAAUAUGCCUGGGUUUCUGCUCCAUCUGUGCCAGCCUCCCAGCUUUGGGUUUUGUAUCUCCCUACUUCUUGUUAUACAAGAAAAAGAAAUUUCUGAUAUGUUUAGUCCAAUAUCUUCAUGUCUUCUAUUACUUACUACUAUUUGCAAUGGCAGACUUAUUAAAGUACACUUCUCUCUCAUUUCACAAGGAUUAUCUGUGCCCGUGUGCCUGGGAGGGGUGCAGCAGGUCAGAACAGCCCAGGAGUAGGGAGUGACCAGGCCAGGGCCCUCCCCACACUCAGUGCAGGACUGUGCCCUCAUUUCUCACAUACACUCACCUCCCAGGGUGCAAAUCUGGCAUUAGCCUUUAGGGUGUGAGGACAGAGCAUAAUCUCAUAGUGUCUUCUAUUUGUUCCUAACUUGUUCUCAAUUCACUAACAUGCAUUUCUGUUUCCUCAGUUUCCCUCUGAGAUACACAGCUAACAUUUUGUACUGGCUCUUCUAACGGACAAAUCUGGAAGCAUUCCAAGUUUCUAGAUCUUCUGUCCUGAGAGCAGGGUCGUUUCCUCAAAAGCCAAUGAGCACCCCACUCCCAGAGCUCUGCCCCUAAAGAUGAGGCUUCAUCUCCCCCCAUCCAGCCCUCCCAGUCUACGUGGGACAGUAGUGACAGCCCACAGAACAGGGACCACCAGCAGGUGUUUACGUUCUGAGCUGGAGGCAGCUCUGUUUAGACAGGUCUCUGUGGUGGAGCUGGAUCCCUGCACACAUGCACACUGGGCAAGAGGAAUGCAGGCAGUGGGACUUGUAAUUGAUGAUGUCCCAGAUGACAGGUGAGAGUGCUCUGGAGGCAGCUCUGCACUCCACGUCAGCCAGGCCUCCGCUCCCUCCUGCUCCACCUUCCCCUUCAUCUGCUAACUAACUCAUCAGAUGCCUUGUGAGUGAGGCAGCCCCUGACUCAGAGGACAAGGUGUCGCCCUUUCUGUGGAACUUCAAGACUGUUUUGAGCAUUAGACCUGGAAUCCUGAGGAGAUGCUAAAGGAAUCCAUCUGAGCUGCCAGUGGGGCAGAGCAUUUGACAGAUUUGGGUCAGGGCUGCUGCUGUGCCGUCCCCAGCCGUGUGGUCCGUCUCCCAGGACCACCUGUGCAGAACUAAGACAGCAAGGAUAUGCCAGCCUCACUGCCAUCAGCCCCUCGGGCACUCUGUGACCAGCAAAUCUG
rnacentral:lncRNA from 1 species